UCCAGGGUAGCCUAGUGGACAUGGCAUCUGCCCGGUAAGCGGAACAAUGUGGGUUCGAUUCCCAUCCCUGGAC